rnacentral:rRNA from 1 species
CAAUAGCGUAUAUUAAAGUUGUUGCAGUUAAAAAGCUCGUAGUUGGAUUUCUGGUUGAAGCGACCGGUCGGGCGUUGAUUCGUCUGCACUGGAGUCGGCUUUGGCCAUCCUCUAGGAAAGUGCGUCUGGUAUUAAGUUAUCGGGCGUAUGAUCCUGGUCUUUUACUGUGAAAAAAUUAGAGUGUUUAAAGCAGGCCUUCGCCUUGAAUACAUUAGCAUGGAAUAAUAAGAUAGGACUUUGGUCUAUUUUGUUGGUUUGCAGACCGAAGUAAUGAUUAAUAGGGAUAGUUGGGGGUAUUUAUAUUCCGAUGUCAGAGGUGAAAUUCUUAGAUUUUCGGAAGAUAAACUUAUGCGAAAGCAUUUACCAAGGAUGUUUUCAUUAA